rnacentral:rRNA from 1 species
CCUACGGGAGGCAGCAGUGAGGAAUAUUGGUCAAUGGACGAGAGUCUGAACCAGCCAAGUAGCGUGAAGGAUGACUGCCCUAUGGGUUGUAAACUUCUUUUAUAAAGGAAUAAAACGAGGCACGUGUGCCUUUUUGCAUGUACUUUAUGAAUAAGGAUCGGCUAACUCCGUGCCAGCAGCCGCGGUAAUACGGAGGAACCGAGCGUUAUCCGGAUUUGUUGGGUUUAAAGGGAGCGUAGAUGGGUUGUUAAGUCAGUUGUGAAAGUUUGCGGCUCAACCGUAAAAUUGCAAUUGAUACUGGCAGUCUUGAGUACAGUUGAGGUAGGCGGAAUUCGUGGUGUAGCGGUGAAAUGCUUAGAUAUCACGAAGAACCCCGAUUGCGAAGGCAGCUUACUAAACUGUGACUGACAUUGAUGCUCGAAAGUGUGGGUAUCAAACAGGAUUAGAUACCCGGGUAGUC